CUUGGGAAGAAUCAGGGCCGAACACCAAAAGUUUGUGAUACCCGCUAUAACUGUGUUAAGCAAUUGGAGGCGACCAGCAAAGGAGAGGGUUUUUGUUGACCACCCGUUGAAGUUGAGAGAGACCUGAAGUAUAGAAGCUCGUUUUGGGGAGGCUAAUGGCGAGACCGGAUGCAUCUUCAAAUUCUUUAAGAAUCUGGAGAACAUUCUGAACUGAGAGCGCCGUUCCUUCAACAAAUAUCAGCAAGUCAUCAGCAAAGCAAAGAUAAACAGUUCAUAGCCAGUACAAAGAGGUACGGAGAUAAAGGAUCCCCUUGCCUCAACCCUCUGCGACCUUUAAAGUAUCCAUGGACUGAGCCAUUAAAUCCCACAGAGAAGGAAGGAGUACAGACACAUGCCUUGAGCCAUCUUAGGUCAGGAAGAAUAGGCUUCAAACGGGAUACAAGUAUCUUGGAUAUAACUUUAUACAGCGUGUUAAGACAGGAAAUGGGCCUGAAAUCUGAAACAAG